UAAUGUAAUGCCUACAACGUCAAUGCACCAAAUCCCAUUAGAACUAUGUAGUUAAGCGCGCUUGUGAUAGAGUAGUACUAGGAUGGGUGACUUUUGGAUAAGUCUCGGUGUUUUCAUGCC
rnacentral:rRNA from 1 species